GGAAAGUGUGCACUAGACACGUGUAAGACCUCUGAAAUCCAAGAACACAUCUUGGCAACGCACAAACAGGUCUCCUGAGGAAACACAUGUUGGAGUGAUGGUUUGUUGUGAAGAUAAAGGAGGGGAUACAGAACGUGACGUUUAAGAAGAGAUGGAACUGAAGUUGAAGGAUUUUCAUUUGGAAAAUCCUGUGCUGCACUAGGAUCUCAUGUUCUUAUUCUGCUUUGUGGGCAAAAUAUCCUGCCAGACUACAUUUCCCAUCACACUUUUCAAAACAGAGCUGACCUCCUACCAUCUGUUUAACAAAACAGGCUUCUGUUCCCAGCUGGAGCUUUAUGAUACCUGUCGCUACAGAAAUAAUAAUAAACAAUAAUAACACAG